AACAAUUAGUCUUAGGUGGUGGAUGAAAAUUAGUUUAGGAUUUAUAAUUUCCGUGUUGCUACCAAGAUGGAUCAAUGCAUACAUGAAGAAACAAGGAAUCGGGUGAAAGUUGGUUUAUGCAUUUCUUAGUGUACUCCUAAUUAACAGACUUAGUUCACUGACUAAUCAUAUGCCAAGUCAUUAUGGCCACAACCUCCUCCUAUAUUGGUUAUUUCAAAUUUCUCGCAUGUAUUUUUGAUUUUAUAUAUUUUGGGUUAGCUUUCAAGUUUUCCUUACUUUACUUUGCUUUCCUAUAGGGUCACUUGGGGAAGCUACCUUUAAUUAUCAUAAAUCCUAUUUCAUCCAUAUGCUCUUCUUGUUGUUCACCGUUUUCUUAGAGUAAGUGGAGUUUAAAUGGUGGUUUCCAUUCUCUUAUUGUAGAAAUGGAAAUAAUAUAAAAUCUUCAUUGAUAUUUUCUAAAGAGGUUUAUGACAAGUUGCAUGUGAUGGCUGAUGGAAGUCAGAAGAAGUACGGGUCUUUGCAUCAAACGUGGAUGGAUGGAAGAUAUCAAACAAGGCAAGGUUUUGGAAAACUUCCUACGCCGCCCUUCCCUCAAUCAUCUAGAGUCUGCAAUUUCUGUUCUUCUACCAGUGCUCCAAGAAUCAUCCCUUAAACCUCCUCCUUGUUACUUUGGCUCUCCAUCCCAUUGGACCUUUCUGUAUUGCACCCUUCAGUGAGGAAGAGUAUUGAUAUUAAGAGCACAUAUUUCAUUGAAGUGAUUUUCAAUGGCUGGUUCUGGCGUUGAUCAAAAUUUUGUGGAGUAUUUACUAUCUGUAGGACUUAAUCCAGAUAAGUAUAGCAUAAAUAAAUAUGACAGUGCAGAAGCAAUGGUCAUUUAUAGUACUUUGAUUACGCAAGCUCAUCCGAUCUUCCCAAAUGUUCUUCCGCCGUUCCAAUACAAUAAUGAUCAUUAUUUACUCGUUGAAAAGUUAGGGACAUCAUUAACAAAAAUGAGGAAACAAAUUGCCCUUUUUGAUCGUCCAAAGGUUAAAAACAAGCAUAUUUUCUUUCGGGCAUCAGAUACGUAUGCUAAAAUUUUAAGGGAUAUCUUUAAAUCGAUUGGAGCUCUCCUAAAUACAUCAAUUCGAGGUGUAUUGAACACUGGCAAUAUUUAUAUAAUGCCCGGAAAUCGUGAGGCAUGAUUUACGAAAUUUAUUAUUCGAGGCAAUAAUAGUUAUUUUGAAGAUUGCUUAGAUUUUAAAAAUAUGCUAGCAGAUUUUAAUGGAAAGUGUGGAAUUCGUGAUGUUGCAAAAUUUGAAUUUGAUGAUUUCUUUAGUUUGUUGAUGAAUCCUACUCCAUCAAUACCGCGUCAUAGUAUGGAUGUGUUGGAGCAUCCCAUAUUUUGGCCAGAGCAACUUAGAAUUGCUUUUAUUAAAGCUUUAGAUGAUUUUCUGGUGGCCAAUCAAGCUAUCAACACUAAUAUCCAAGCUUUUGAUGGAGGAAUAAACAUGUUGAAUGGGAAUAUUGCUGUUCAUGAAUUGUUACAAUUUCAUAAGCGGUACAUUGUAAAUAACCAAAUUCGAAGCUUGUUCUUACAAUAUUUACCUAACAAUUUUCAGAAUGUACCUAAUUCAGAUAUGACGAGAUUAUGCAUCGAAACUUUGAAAAAUCUAUAUACACAUUUCUUAACUAUGAAACAACCUUAUAUACAGCUCCAAAAUGAUGAAGAUCUUCAGCAUGCUGUUCAAGAGGUUUUUCCGAUGCAUCUUUGCAUAUUAAUUCCGUUUGCACGACAGAUAAACUUUCCAUAUCAAAUUGGAGAAAUUUUAAAUUAUUUGUAUUCUUAAAUGUAG